rnacentral:rRNA from 1 species
GGAUGAGCCCGCGGCCUAUCAGCUUGUUGGUGGGGUGAUGGCCUACCAAGGCGACGACGGGUAGCCGGCCUGAGAGGGUGACCGGCCACACUGGGACUGAGAUACGGCCCAGACUCCUACGGGAGGCAGCAGUGGGGAAUAUUGCACAAUGGGCGCAAGCCUGAUGCAGCGACGCCGCGUGAGGGAUGACGGCCUUCGGGUUGUAAACCUAUUUCAGUGCCGACGAAGCGGAAGUGACGGUAGGCACAGAAGAAGGACCGGCCAACUACGUGCCAGCAGCCGCGGUAAUACGUAGGGUCCGAGCGUUGUCCGGAAUUACUGGGCGUAAAGAGCUCGUAGGUGGUUUGUCGCGUUGUCCGUGAAAACUCACAGCUUAACUGUGGGCGUGCGGGCGAUACGGGCAGACUAGAGUACUGCAGGGGAGACUGGAAUUCCUGGUGUAGCGGUGGAAUGCGCAGAUAUCAGGAGGAACACCGGUGGCGAAGGCGGAUCUCUGGGCCGAUACUGACGCUGAGGAGCGAAAGCGUGGGGAGCGAACAGGAUUAGAUACCCUGGUAGUCCACGCCGUAAACGGUGGGCACUAGGUGUGGGCGACAUUCCACGUCGUCCGUGCCGCAGCUAACGCAUUAAGUGCCCCGCCUGGGGAGUACGGCCGCAAGGCUAAAACUCAAAGGAAUUGACGGGGGCCCGCACAAGCGGCG